UACAGAGGUGGCAAGCGUUGUUCGGAAUUACUGGGCGUAAAGGGCGCGUAGGUGGCUCUCUAAGUCAGACGUGAAAUCCCCGGGCUUAACUCGGGAACUGCGUCUGAUACUGGAAAGCUUGAGUUCGGGAGAGGAAUGUGGAAUUCCAGGUGUAGCGGUGAAAUGCGUAGAUAUCUGGAGGAACACCGGUGGCGAAGGCGGCAUUCUGGACCGAAACUGACGCUGAGGCGCGAAAGCCAGGGGAGCAAACGGG
rnacentral:rRNA from 1 species